AGUGAACGCUGGCGGUAGGUCUAACACAUGCAAGUCGAACGGCAGCACAGUAAGAGCUUGCUAUUAGGGGUGGCGAGUGGCGGACGGGUGGGGAAUACAUCGGAAUCUACUUUUUCGUGGGGGAUAACGUAGGGAAACUUACGCUAAUACCGCAUACGACCUACGCGUGAAAGCAGGGGAUCUUCGGACCUUGCGCGAUUGAAUGAGCCGAUGUCGGAUUAGCUAGUUGGCGGGGUAAAGGCCCACCAAGGCGACGAUCCGUAGCUGGUCUGAGAGGAUGAUCAGCUACACUGGAACUGAGAGACGGUCCAGACUCCUACGGGAGGCAGCAGUGGGGAAUAUUGGACAAUGGGCGAAAGCCUGAUCCAGCCACACCGCGUGGGUGCAGAAGGCCUUCGGGUUGUAAAGCCCUUUUGUUGGGAAAGAAAAGCAGCAGGUUAAUACCCCGCUGUUCUGACGGUACCCAAAGAAUAAGCACCGGCUAACUUCGUG
rnacentral:rRNA from 1 species